UACGUAGGGCGCAAGCGUUGUCCGGAAUUAUUGGGCGUAAAGAGCUCGUAGGCGGCUUGUCGCGUCGAUUGUGAAAGCCCGGGGCUUAACUCCGGGUCUGCAGUCGAUACGGGCAGACUAGAGUGUGGUAGGGGAGAUCGGAAUUCCUGGUGUAGCGGUGAAAUGCGCAGAUAUCAGGAGGAACACCGGUGGCGAAGGCGGAUCUCUGGGCCAUUACUGACGCUGAGGAGCGAAAGCGUGGGGAGCGAACAGG
rnacentral:rRNA from 1 species